GUGUCUAUUGAAAGGAGAGACGGUUAGCACUCCCCUUGACAAGGAUGGAACACAUAAAAUUGGUCGAGGCAUGACCGAACAUUUUU